AUGAAGGCGUGGGAGCGCGACACAGCCGAGGCGGAUGCGCUGCGGGCGGAGCUACCCAAGUCCAAGGUUGUGCUCGCCGAUACCAAGGCGGAUGCGGGGAUUGUGGCGGCGGCAGCGCGUGGGCUCCGGGAGGAGUUGGACAGGAAGAAGAAGCAGCGGGAGCGCGACGCCACCGAGUCGAACGCGCUUCGGGCGAAGCUGGACAAGGCAAAGGCCGAGCUCGCAGCGACCAAGGCGAACGCGGAGAGAGCGGUGACGCGGUGGUUCUGGGGGUCCAGCAGGGAGCACGCGUGCGCUGGCAGAGCGGGAGCUGCGAGGGUACGAGUGCGGCUUGGAGAACAUGAGGCGCGCCAUGCUUUAUCGCUACCCGUACUUGGACCCGUCGCUGCUCUUCGUGCCGGUCAACGGCCCCCCGUAGCGCCGGCAACCGCCUAA
rnacentral:rRNA from 1 species